UACGGUCAAAUCCCGCUGAAACACCGGUUUCUCGUUAUCACCGAAGUUAAACAGCGUAGAGCCAGGUCAGUACUUUAGAUGGGGACCGCUUGGGAACACCUGGUACUGUAAG
rnacentral:rRNA from 1 species